rnacentral:rRNA from 1 species
AUUGAACGCUGGCGGCAGGCCUAACACAUGCAAGUCGAACGAGUGGCGGACGGGUGAGUACUGUCUGGGAAACUGCCUGAUGGAGGGGGAUAACUACUGGAAACGGUAGCUAAUACCGCAUACCAUCAGAUGUGCCCAGAUGGGCUUAGCUGGUGGGUGGGGUAAUGGCUCACCAAGGCGACGAUCCCUAGCUGGUCUGAGAGGAGGACCAGCCACACUGGAACUGAGACACGGUCCAGACUCCUACGGGAGGCAGCAGUGGGGAAUAUUGCACAAUGGGCGCAAGCCUGAGGCAGCCAGGCCGCUUGUAUGAAGAAUUCCUUCGGGUUGUAAAGUACUUUCAGCGGGGAGGCGUUACCCGCAGAAGAAGCACCGGCUAACGCAGUGCAAGCAGCCGCGGUAAUUC